rnacentral:rRNA from 2 species
GACUGGGAUAACUAUUGGAAACAAUAGCUAAUACCGGAUAUAGUUAUUUAUCGCAUGAUGAGUAAUAGAAAGGAGCUUCACAGCUUCACUUAAAAAUGGGGGUGCGGAACAUUAGUUAGUUGGUAGGGUAAUGGCCUACCAAGACGAUGAUGUUUAGCCGGGCCGAGAGGCUGUACGGCCACACUGGGACUGAGAUACGGCCCAGACUCCUACGGGAGGCAGCAGUAAGGAAUUUUCCACAAUGAGCGAAAGCUUGAUGGAGCGACACAGCGUGCAGGAUGAAGUUCUUCGGAAUGUAAACUGCUGUUAUAAGGGAAGAAAAAAUAGAAUAGGAAAUGAUUUUAUCUUGACGGUACCUUAUUAGAAAGCGACGGCAAACUAUGUGCCAGCAGCCGCGGUAAUACAUAGGUCGCAAGCGUUAUCCGGAAUUAUUGGGCGUAAAGCGUCCGUAGGUUUUUUGCUAAGUCUGGAGUUAAAUGCUGAAGCUCAACUUCAGUCCGCUUUGGAUACUGGCAAAAUAGAAUUAUAAAGAGGUUAGCGGAAUUCCUAGUGAAGCGGUGGAAUGCGUAGAUAUUAGGAAGAACACCAAUAGGCGAAGGCAGCUAACUGGUUAUAUAUUGACACUAAGGGACGAAAGCGUGGGGAGCAAACAGGAUUAGAUACCCUGGUAGUCCACGCCGUAAACGAUGAUCAUUAGUUGGUGGAAUAAUUUCACUAACGCA